rnacentral:rRNA from 1 species
UACGUAGGGGGCGAGCGUUAUCCGGAAUUACUGGGCGUAAAGCGCACGCAGGCGGUUCGCCAAGUUUGGAGUGACAGUUGUCGGCUCAACCGACAAAGGACUUCAAAAACUGGUGAACUUGAGGAUGAGAGAGGAACACGGAACUCCAGGUGUAGUAGUGAAAUGCGUAGAUAUCUGGAAGAACACCAAUGGCGAAGGCAAUGUUCUGGCUCGUUUCUGACGCUCAGGUGCGAAAGCCAGGGGAGCGAACGGG